rnacentral:rRNA from 1 species
AUUGAACGCUGGCGGCAGGCUUAACACAUGCAAGUCGAGCGGAGAGAGGUAGCUUGCUACUGAUCUUAGCGGCGGACGGGUGAGUAAUGCUUAGGAAUCUGCCUAUUAGUGGGGGACAACAUUUCGAAAGGAAUGCUAAUACCGCAUACGUCCUACGGGAGAAAGCAGGGGAUCUUCGGACCUUGCGCUAAUAGAUGAGCCUAAGUCGGAUUAGCUAGUUGGUGGGGUAAAGGCCUACCAAGGCGACGAUCUGUAGCGGGUCUGAGAGGAUGAUCCGCCACACUGGGCCUGAGACACGGCCCAGAGUCCUACGGGAGGCAGCAGUGGGGAAUAUUGGACAAUGGGCGGAAGCCUGAUCCAGCCAUGCCGCGUGUGUGAAGAAGGCCUUAUGGUUGUAAAGCACUUUAAGCGAGGAGGAGGCUACUUUAGUUAAUACCUAGAGAUAGUGGACGUUACUCGCAGAAUAAGCACCGGCUAACUCUGUGCCAGCCGCCGCCGCGG